CCCCAUGGCUCAACUGGUAGAGCAACUGAUUUGUAAUCAGUAGGUUGGAGGUUCAAGUCCUUCUGGGGGCACCA
rnacentral:tRNA from 1 species